rnacentral:lncRNA from 1 species
AAGAGCUCUAAAGGGCAGACAUGGCAGCUGUUGUGUCCACAUUGAAUCAAUCUUCUGCUGCUGAUUUCCACUAUUAAUUUGGAUCUUCUGAUUGGCUUAUUGAGAAUGGGUGGUCAAAUCUGGCUUGGGACAUGGGCUGCAACCCCCAGCUUUGAUACUAAUAAGACUGUACAUGAAGAGAGACAGAAUGUGGCUUAGCAGACUCACAGGACACUGAUCAAUUUAAAGUUUAAUAUUAAACAUCAUCAUUAUUUAAUUCA